rnacentral:lncRNA from 1 species
GCGGCCCGGCCCUCGCCCGGGAGUGCGUGUGUGCGCGCGUGUGUAUGUGUGUGUGUGUGUGCGUGUGCGCGAGUGUGUGUGCGGGGUGCGCGCGCGGGCGGGAGUGGGCGCGCGCGGGGAAAGGCCCGAAAAUACCUUAGUUUGCACCGAGAGACCAUUUGCAGCGGAACCCGAAAGUUUGCAAGAGGAAGAGAGCGCGCGGCGAACAAGCGGGCAAGGGGCAGCGGCAGCGGCGCCGCCAGGGACCAUGGUGCUGCCGGCGCCUCCUCCGCGGGCGUGAAGGCGGCGCUCCCACUCUCCCCUCGGACUCCGCGGUGUCCCAGGAGCUUCUGCUGACAAUUCCAGUUUCCACACGCAACAUUUGGGCAAUGGUGAGGGCUUCGGUCCCUUCUUUGGUUUGCUGUCAACCAUGAAUGGAUGGAUUUGAUGCCUGCUGGCCAAAAGGGUGAUUGGAAAUGAGCUCCUCUCCAUGAUUUCCGUCCAACACAGCUCACACAAGGCAUUGAACCUGAGGGAGUCCAAGGAAGUUUGCAUCAGAUUCAAAUGUUCCAUAGGCUUGGUUGCUAAGACCUUGUCUUCCACAUUAAAAGCAGCAUAUCAGGAAGGACUUCUGACCGGUAAAAGGAUCAUCUUUUCACCUCUGCAUAUGCAUAGAUGCCACUUCCUCCUCUUCCCUGUCCCUGUCCCUCUCCUUCACAUGUGGCGAAAACGAGGACUACUUUGUGCUGAAACACAUAUUAGGGUUUUGUUCCAAUUUUGGCCCUACCCAUUUAACUCCAUUCUUUUCAGUGGUUCCCCUUUAAUCAGCAAAUAACUAGGUUAUGUCUUGAGUUACAUAGAGGCCUUCAAUGGGCAUGCUAUCAAUACCGGUAUUUUCUUAUUGAUACUUAUUUUCUUUUUUCUUUUUUCUUUUUUUUUUUUGUCAUCUUGCCAUUUCUAGGGCCGCAACCGUGUCCUCUGGAGGUUCCCAGGCUAGGGGUCCAAUUGGAGCUGUUGCUGCUGGCCUAAACCACAGCCACAGCAACGUGGGAUCCAUGCCGCGUCUGCAGCCUACACCACAGCUCACGGCAACUCCGGAUCCCUAACCCACUGAGCAAGGCCAGGGAUUGAACCCGCAACCUCAUGGUUCCUAGUCGAUUUGUUAACCACUGAGCCAUGACGGGAACUCUGAUACUUAUUUUCUUAUACUAGGUCAACAGUCUGUCUCUCAAUUUGGAGCAUAAAACCAAAAUCUGAGCCUUACCAACACCUAGUUUACAGGAACACUUAACACCAUUUUGUUUGUUCCUUUGAUCAUCUUAUCUUCCUUGUAGAGUUUACCACUCUUAUGCCCUUUUUAAAGCAAGUCUUCUAUGAUAGUGAAUUCUCCUUUUUUCCCCUGCAAAUGAAGGAUAUUCACAAAAUGGGUAAGUGGUGCCUUUUGGUGCAGAUCCAGCUGAAAGCCUUUGCCUUUGGUGAGUCACCUGAAGCCAGCUCUUCUCCUCAUGUCACUUCACCCUUGUAGUGUCAGUCAGCGUGGCCACCUUAUAAUUUGAUGAGGCAGUUUCCUGAUGUUAUUAUCUUUUGUAAUUUUCAUGCUGAUGCCCCUGACCUGGGGUUACAGAAACUCUGAAAAAUAUCCAGCCAUCCUGGAAAUACACACUUAUCGAUUAUUUUACACAUUAUGAUACUCCCAUCUAAAUCUGUUUAUCACCAGAGCAGUGGUCCCCAAUGCCUGGGGUCUUAGAAUUCCAGGGCAUUAGGAAAUAUAAUCCUAGAGUUUUUCAGGAUUUAUGUUAGGAGGACUUGGGUGGUAAGCAACAGAAAGUCCAGUUCCGGCAGCUUCAGCAGUGUCACU